CAAUAGCGUAUAUUAAAGUUGUUGCAGUUAAAAAGCUCGUAGUUGGAUUUCUGGCAGGAGUGACCGGCCGCACACACUGUGUGUGAGUUGCGUCAUUCUGGCCAUCCUUGGUGAGAUCCUGUUUGGCAUUAAGUUGUCGGGCAGGGGAUAACCAUCGUUUACUGUGAAAAAUUAGAGUGUUUAAAGCAGGCUUAUGCCGUUGAAUAUAUUAGCAUGGAAUAAUAAGAUAGGACUUUGAGUCUAUUUUGUUGGUUUCUAGAUCUGAAGUAAUGAUUGAUAGGGAUAGUUGGGGGUGCUAGUAUUAAGGGGCCAGAGGUGAAAUUCUUGGAUUCUCUUAAGACUAACUUAUGCGAAAGCAUUCACCAAGGAUGUCUUCUUUAAUCAAGAACGAAAGUUGGGGGAUCGAAGACGAUCAGAUACCAU
rnacentral:rRNA from 1 species